rnacentral:rRNA from 1 species
AAACCAGCACCUCAAGUGGUCAGGAGGUUUAUUGGGCCUAAAGCAUCCGUAGCCUGAUCUAUAAGUUUCCGGUUAAAUCCAAAUGCUCAACAUUUGGGCUGCCGGAAAAACUGUAGAUCUAGGGAGUGAGAGAGGUAGACGGUACUCGGUAGGAAGGGGUAAAAUCCUUUGAUCUAUUGAUGACCACCAGUGGCGAAGGCGGUCUACCAGAACACGUUCGACGGUGAGGGAUGAAAGCUGGGGGAGCAAACCGAAUUAGAAACCCGAGUAGUCC